UUAACAAAAACAUGUCUUUUUGAGUUAUUUUUAAAGUCUGACCAGCCCACUGAAAUUUUUUAAAUGGCCGCAGUAUUCUAACUGUGCAAAGGUAGCAUAAUCAUUAGUCUUUUAAUUGAAGGCUGGUAUGAACGGUUGGACGAGGUAUAAGCUGUUUCAUAUAAAUUUAUAAUAGAAUUUUAUAUUUUAGUCAAAAAGCUAAAAUUUAAUUAAAAGACGAGAAGACCCUAUAAAUCUUUAUAAUUUUUGUUAUUUAAAUUUUUUGGAUUAGUUUUAUUUUUUUAGUAAAAAUUAUUUUGUUGGGGUGAUGUUAAAAUUUAAUGAACUUUUAAUUAUUUAAAAUCAUUAAUUUAUGAGUUAUUGAUCCAUUAGUAGUGAUUAUAAGAUUAAGUUACUUUAGGGAUAACAGCGUAAUUUUUUUGGAGAGUUCAUAUCGAUAAAAAAGUUUGCGACCUCGAUGUUGGAUUAAGAUAUAAUUUUAGGUGUAGCCGCUUAAAUGUUAAGUCUGUUCGACUUUUAAAUUCUUACGUGAUCUGAGUUC
rnacentral:rRNA from 1 species